GGUCUUAGCUUAAUUAAAGUAUUUGUUUUGCAUACAGAAGAUGUGGGGUAGUGUCCUGCAGAUCNNN
rnacentral:tRNA from 1 species